GAUGAACGCUGGCGGCGUGCCUAAUACAUGCAAGUCGAGCGAAUGGAUUAAGAGCUUGCUCUUAUGAAGUUAGCGGCGGACGGGUGAGUAACACGUGGGUAACCUGCCCAUAAGACUGGGAUAACUCCGGGAAACCGGGGCUAAUACCGGAUAACAUUUUGAACCGCAUGGUUCGAAAUUGAAAGGCGGCUUCGGCUGUCACUUAUGGAUGGACCCGGGUCGCAUUAGCUAGUUGGUGAGGUAACGGCUCACCAAGGCAACGAUGCGUAGCCGACCUGAGGGGGUGAUCGGCCACCCUGGGACAGAUACACGGCCCAGACUCCUCCGGGAGGCAGCAGUAGGGAAUCUUCCGGAAUGGACGAAAGUCUGACGGAGCAACGCCGCGUGAGUGAUGAAGGCUUUCGGGUCGUAAAACUCUGUUGUUAGGGAAGAACAAGUGCUAGUUGAAUAAGCUGGCACCUUGACGGUACCUAACCAGAAAGCCACGGCUAACUACGUGCCAGCCGCCGCCGUAA
rnacentral:rRNA from 1 species